CAUGAAGUCGGAAUUGCAGUAAUGGCAGGUCAGCAUACUGCCGUGAAUACGUUCCCGGGCCUUGUACACACCGCCCGUCACACCAUGAGAGUUGGAGAUACCCGAAGCCUAUGAGCUAACUUUUAGAGGCAGUAGUCGAAGGUAGAAUCAAUGAUUGGGGUGAAGUCGUAACAAGGUAGC
rnacentral:rRNA from 1 species